rnacentral:tmRNA from 1 species
GGGGAUGAAAGGAUUUCGACGGGGAUUAAGAAGUAUCAUAAGCAUGCGGCGGCGCUCGACCGCCUCAACAACGGGCAACUUAAAAAUUAAAGGACAAAGAAGAAACUGUUCUUUGCGCUGCUUAAUCAAUAGCAGUGCCAUCUGACCGGGUUACCGCGCCCCGGGGUUCAGGUGUGAGUAGCGGUAAAGGUGAACAGGUGAGCGGCUCGUAGCCUGUCAUCCAUCAGAGCCUACCAAUCCCGGCAGCUUGUUUGCGAGCGGCAGGGAAAGGGAAUGCCAAAGCACAAACUAAGCAUGUAGAAAGUGAUAUGGGCGAAUUUUCGGACGCGGUUUCGAUUACCGCCAUCUCCACCA